UACGUAGGGUGCGAGCGUUAAUCGGAAUUACUGGGCGUAAAGCGUGCGCAGGCGGUUUUGCAAGCCGGAUGUGAAAUCCCCGGGCUUAACCUGGGAAUGGCAUUUGGGACUGCAAGGCUGGAGUGCGGCAGAGGAGACUGGAAUUCCUGGUGUAGCAGUGAAAUGCGUAGAUAUCAGGAGGAACACCGAUGGCGAAGGCAGGUCUCUGGGCCGAUACUGACGCUGAGGAGCGAAAGCGUGGGGAGCGAACAGG
rnacentral:rRNA from 1 species